rnacentral:rRNA from 1 species
GGAUGUGAUCAUACUAGCACACUAACGCACCAAAUCCCAUAAAAACUCCAAAGUUAAUCGUGUUUGGGCGAGAGCAGGACUAGGAUGGGCUACCCACUAGGAAGUCAUCAUGUUGCAUCCC